UACAUGGGGUGCAAACGUUGCUCGGAAUCAUUGGGCGUAAAGCGCGCGUAGGCGGUUGCUUAAGUCGGAUGUGAAAGCCCUCGGCUUAACUGAGGAAGUGCAUCCGAAACUGAGCAGCUAGAGUACGAAAGAGGGUCGCGGAAUUCCCGGUGUAGAGGUGAAAUUCGUAGAUAUCGGGAGGAACACCGGUGGCGAAGGCGGCGACCUGGGUCGAGACUGACGCUGAGGCGCGAAAGCGUGGGGAGCAAACAGG
rnacentral:rRNA from 1 species